rnacentral:rRNA from 1 species
CCUACGGGAGGCAGCAGUGGGGGAUAUUGGACAAUGGGGGAAACCCUGAUCCAGCGACGCCGCGUGAGUGAAGAAGUCCUUCGGGUUGUAAAGUUCUGUCAGCAGGGAGGAAAGAACUGACGGUACCUGACCAAGAAGCCCCGGCUAACUACGUGCCAGCCGCCGCGGUAAUACGUAGGGGGCAAGCGUUAUCCGGAAUUACUGGGUGUAAAGGGAGCGUAGACGGGGAUGCAAGUCAGAAGUGAAAGGCCGGGGCCCAACCCCCGAACUGCACUGGAAACUGUGUAUCUUGAGUGCAGGAGAGGUAGGCGGAAUUCCAAGUGUAGCGGUGAAAUGCGUAGAUAUUAGGAGGAACACCAGUGGCGAAGGCGGCUUACUGGACGAUAACUGACGCUGAGGCGCGAAAGCGUGGGGAGCAAACAGGAUUAGAUACCCCAGUAGUC